GAUGAACGCUGGCGGCGUGCUUAACACAUGCAAGUCGAACGAUGAAGCCCAGCUUGCUGGGUGGAUUAGUGGCGAACGGGUGAGUAACACGUGAGUAACCUGCCCUUAACUCUGGGAUAAGCCUGGGAAACUGGGUCUAAUACCGGAUAGGAGCGUCCACCGCAUGGUGGGUGUUGGAAAGAUUUAUCGGUUUUGGAUGGACUUGCGGCCUAUCAGCUUGUUGGUGAGGUAAUGGCUCACCAAGGCGACGACGGGUAGCCGGCCUGAGAGGGUGACCGGCCACACUGGGACUGAGACACGGCCCAGACUCCUACGGGAGGCAGCGGUGGGGAAUAUUGCACAAUGGGCGCAAGCCUGAUGCAGCGACGCCGCGUGAGGGAUGACGGCCUUCGGGUUGUAAACCUCUUUCAGUAGGGAAGAAGCGAAAGUGACGGUACCUGCAGAAGAAGCACCGGCUAACUACGUG
rnacentral:rRNA from 1 species